UAGAGCUUUGAUGGGUAUUUCUUGUUAUCUCAUGGGAUUGUGUUUUUGAGACCUAUAUUUGCGAUUUUGUGGUUUUUAGCUUCUUCACUUUUCUAAUCAUUGCAAAUACUUGAUUUUUUUUUUUUUGUUUUCUCCUUUAAUUUUGAUGGGUAUUUCUUGUUUUGAGGUUUUGAGUUUUUGAUUUCUUAGCAAUAUUUCUUUUGGGAUUUUGGGUUUUUGGAGUGAGAGUUGCCAUGUUCACCUAUCUAUCGAUAUCUAUCAUCUAAGACACUUGAUUUUGAUUUCUCCUGCUUUGAAUUUUGAUGGGUAUUUCUUGGUUUCCCACUAGAUUUCUCGGUACCAGAUUGUUUUCCGGGUUUCUGGUUUACGGGUUCUUGUUGUUUCCUCUUCUUUUGGAGUCUUUAUUUUAAUUUUCUUUGCAUAUCCAUAUCACUGUAGCGCUUCAGUGGGUAGUGUCUCAGAAAAUGAGAUUGGGUUUUGAUUUUUCUACUCUUCUAUCGAUAUCUCUUGUUUUGAGGAUUCGGGUCCUGUUUAAUUUCAGGAACAUGGGGUUAUAAUUUGGAAUUUUUCCAUUUAAUUCAUGCCAUGAAGCUCCUUUGGUUUGUUGGGUUGUUGGUUUUCUGCUGGUUGGGAGCGCUUUCGAAUGGGUUGAAAGGACGUGUUACUUCAAGGCCCCCUUUUGUGAACAUUGGAGCUAUUUUCACUAUCAACUCUACCAUUGGGAGAGCUACGAAGAUUGCCAUUGGGACUGCCGUGGAAGAUGUAAAUGCAGAUCCCAGCAUUCUUGGUGAGAUAGAGUUGAAAGUUAAGAUGCAGGACUCUAAUUGCAGCGGGUUUCUUGGAAUUGUUGAAGGUCAGUCAUCAUCCAAUGAUUGUUGCAUGCCACCGUGAAGGUAGAUGAUGGAAAAUUUGGGGAGACAGUAAUCUGAAAAGCAAAUUUUGGGGUCGUUCAAUCCAGCUUGAUCUUGUUGAUCUUCUAACUCUCGAGUUUGAUGAUGGUGAAGUUUUUCAGUGGAGCAAGGUCACAACUUUUGUGUUCUACCAAUCACCAAUCACCAAAACUUGGACUGUUCCCUUUAAGGAGAUAGUUGAUAUGGAUGAUGAAAUAUAUGAAGUUGUUGCAGGAAGUGACUUUGUCAUUACUAGAGUUGCAUUUCGAGACAACUCUUCAAAGUACUACAUAAAUGACCAUGGAAGUAAUUUUACGGAGGUCACUAAGAAAUUGAAAGGAAAAGGAGUGGACUUGGACAAUUGUAAUUUC